rnacentral:lncRNA from 12 species
AUGCAGAUGUCUGGGCUUCCUCAGGGGUUUUCAAGCGUAUCCGGGUGCAGCUCAUCGGCACGCGCCAGGGUGUGCCCCGCUGAGUCCGUGAUGGUGCUCUUCGUGGGGUUGCGGUGGGGCGCUAGCCGUUGGAGCCCCUUCACCAGCUUGGGCGGGGCGGCCGGGCUCUUGGCCUCCACGGGGACUGUGAUGACCCGGCUGACCCUGAACUUCACUACUGGCAUGCUUGAAGGAGCUCAGAGGUGGGGAUGGUGCCUGUGUUCACCAGGAGCUGCAGCCUUUGGAAGCCCUGAACUGGCCCUGUGCACUAUGGGAUCUCCAGACAGCUACAAAGAGAAUAUCAGUGGAUCAUUGGAAUUUCACCUAGAUUUUUCUCAUCAAACUGCCCACACAUUUUAUUCCUGUUGGAUGGAGAGGAGGUCGUGA